GACAUGAACUUUGAUGACAUUCCUUGGUCCAAUUAGUCCACCCACAUAUCUGGGUAUCUGGACCAAAACAAAUGUGGCUUUGUGUUCACAUCAAAUAGCAGAGUUUAUAGUCUAAGAGGGGAGUCAGAUACAGAAAUAAAAUUCUGUUUCUCAGUGGUGAAUGACAGCCCUGCACAUUUCCCUGUGAUCAUAUUGGCUUCUGGAGAAUAUUACAGCACUUGGCAGUAUGAACACCGACUUCAACCACUGUGGAGCCCCAAGAGAAGAAUACUGAAGCACAAAGUGUAAAGGGUCUUAGAGAGUCAUUGGCCAAGUGGUAGCCCAGCUCUUGACUCUUCCCAGUGCCUUUUAUUAUCAAGCAGUGAAGGGCAAGAAGUAAGAAUUGUUUAAUUGCAAAAGAAAGAAAAAAAAAUUAGAGCAAUGAGAUUAAUGGACUUGGAUUAAUGUGAUAAUACAUCUCUGAGUUUGAGCACAUACCCACCCGCUUACCUGUGUCAACUCAAGAAUGAAAUGGAAACUCGCUGUAUUGUGUGGGCAUGAGGAUUGACUCAAAGACUGUGACAGGAAGUAUUAAGGCUGCAGCCUCUAAGCUCUGCAAUGUUAAGGUCACAUCCACAUCCUUAAAGGCACAAUGAUAACUGUGUCACUGGACUAUUUGGAGUAGAAGAUGUGACUUCUAUCUUCUGCUGGUGUUGGUGACAUUUUAGCCCUGGUAUUUCAUCGUCGGAUUUUUGCCGUUUUAAUUUAUCCCAGUAAAAUCAGUAGGUGGAAGAUAAAAGACUCCUAUGCUUCACUCCUAUGCUGAUUAUAUAUCUGUAUGCAAGUAUU
ensembl:lncRNA